GGCAGCAGCUCUCUGCCACACAGGGCAGGGCUGGUCACAAGCAGGGCUUUGGUUCUCAUUUCCCCUGUGAAGUACAUUUCGUUUUAAAAAUAUUUUGCCAUUUCACAUCACAUCAGCCAUGCUAAAAUUUAUUGUUACCUCCAGCAAAGUGGAAACAAUAGCGGGAAAUAUUAAAAGUAUGUAAGUUAGUUUUGAGACUUUGUACAAGUAGUGAAGUGUUACCUUCCCCCGUGUCUGUUCUGACUUAACGGCAGAAGGCGCGUCUCCUAAUGGACUGCACCCGAUGGCAUUUAUUCUCUUUAGAGGUCUAAUUUACCCAAAAGACAGACAUGGGAAGAGACCACUACUGGAAGAAAUGCUAUGAAUGUGGAUAACGUGAUUUCUUUUUAACAUUUGAUUAAAACAGGUGAAAUGAAAAGAAAAAUCCUAAAAAUUUAUCUGAAUUUACCAAAUUAGUGAAAAUCUGCCAGCCUGUUUUCUAAGCUGUUCAGGUCAAAAGAGCUACACUGGAUUAAACAUUUGUACGGCUGUCCAGGGUCAAGUGUCUUCUUUAUUUAAACUGUAAUAUUUUCCUAUUUUCAUACUUGGUUCCAUUACUGUGUCUGUAUUUUUAAUAAACACAGACUUAGUUUCCUUUAAUACCUUUUCUUAAAGUACAUACUUUAACUGGAGAACCGUGUUUGGGAGGCUCUGGGCUUCGUCUCUUCGUCCUGAAAAAAGUGUUCAGAAGAACCAGCUUAUUUUCUCAAGAAAAAGAAAUCAGGACCAACCUGGUUUAUUUUGCCUUGCGCUUUGGAUAAACUAAUCAGAAUCAGGUGACCUGUCAGUUGUGUACAGUUGGACGUCAGACGCUGAAAACGACACACAGAUCCAGCAGUCCCGGUCUCCAGCAGUGCUCGCGCACCUCAUUGCUGUCUGAGUUGUUACAUUCCAAGAGGAAGCACAGACGAGAUCUUCAUACUCAGGCUUUCAGUUUUCUGUUCUGCGCGACCCUCUUGGCCGCCUGUGCCCCCAGAGCCCGCACUGCAGGCCACGUCGCGAGUGCUUGUAUCCAAACCUGGUGGUGGCUGAACAAGAAGAGACCCUUGACCAGGAUGAGUGUACAUUCUGCUGGUGGAGCACCCCACACAGCAACUGGUGAGAUGAUGCAAGAUGGGGAAGGUGCCUGGAGGUUGAGAAGGUGAUGCAGCUGGGGGUCAUGUGUGGGGUCAGGUGUGAGGGUCAGGUAUGAGGGGCGGGUGUCGGAGAGCUUGUGUGGGGGGUGUGAGGCGGCGUGAGGGGUGGGUGUGAGGGGCAGGUGUGAGGGGUGGGUGAGGGGCGGAUGUUAGGGGCGGGUGUGAGGGUCAGGUGUGAGGGGUGGGUGAGGGGUGGGUGAGGGGCGGGUGAGGG
rnacentral:lncRNA from 1 species